GUUGUGGAGCGCACAGGGCGGACGGAGCGCACGAAAUGCGAAGAAGCGCGCACUGCGGGCAGUAGGGGUGAAGUGGAGGAGAGGAAGAGUGGCGGCAUGUGAGGAAGGGCUGCUUUGAGAGGGUGGCAGGCGCUCCUCUCCGACGUGCCGCUCUCCGGGGACACGCGCCGAGAGAGAGAGAGAGAGAGAGAGAGAGAGAGAGAGAGAGAGAGAGAGAGAGAGAGAGAGAGAGAGAAGCCAGGAGAGCUCUCACUCUCCUUCAUUUUCAUAUUUACACGCCACAUGUUUGCACGUCGACGACAAGAAGAAGAAGAAGAAGGAGGCAGAAAAGUCGAUGGCGCGCAGAGGCGUGCGCUUCGCUCCCGCGCAGGGCAGCAUGCCAAAAUUCAAUCCGCGCACACCUGAGCGGAAUAUAAAAGCGCACGAUUAAAAUAAAAGCCGUUUAUUAAAACAGAUGGGCUCGUUUGUUAGAAAUCCGAAGUGUGCGAGGAAAAAAAAAAAGUUUUCAAAAAUAUAAUUAAGUUUGAACAGCGCGUGUUAAAAGAGAAGAUAAUGCCGCAGUCUGUUCGCCGCGUCGACAUAUUUUAUUUCAAUUAAUUGCGCAAAUAUAAACAAGGCUUUACGG